rnacentral:rRNA from 1 species
AUGAACGGUAGGGUGACUCUAGAUCAGGGUUGGGCCACCUACGCAGCCGUUCAUCAGAUCAAGAUCGGCUACAUGGUGACAUUCAAGCUCCUCACUCCUGACGCCCUCAAGGUCAUCAUCUUUGACGACGAUGGUAUUGAGGUCGUCAACAAGUGCGGGAAGCAUGACGAAGCCUUCGCCGCCAAGGAGUAG